rnacentral:rRNA from 1 species
UACGUAGGGGCCUAGCGUUGUCCGGAUUUAUUGGGCGUAAAGAGCUCGUAGGCGGUUUGGUGAGUCGGGUGUGAAAUCUCCACGCUCAACGUGGAGGGGCCACCCGAUACUGCCAUGACUAGAGUCCGGUAGGGGAGUGCGGAAUUCCAGGUGUAGCGGUGAAAUGCGUAGAUAUCUGGAGGAACACCGGUGGCGAAGGCGGCAUCCUGGACCGAUACUGACGCUGAGGAGCGAAAGCCAGGGGAGCAAACGGG